rnacentral:rRNA from 1 species
CGGGGUAACGGCCCACCAAGGCAACGAUCAGUAGGGGUUCUGAGAGGAAGGUCCCCCACAUUGGAACUGAGACACGGUCCAAACUCCUACGGGAGGCAGCAGUGAGGAAUAUUGGUCAAUGGGCGCGAGCCUGAACCAGCCAAGUAGCGUGAAGGAUGACUGCCCUAUGGGUUGUAAACUUCUUUUGUCCGGGAAUAAAAUCGCCUACGUGUAGGCGCUUGUAUGUACCGGUACGAAUAAGCAUCGGCUAACUCCGUGCCAGCAGCCGCGGUAAUACGGAGGAUGCGAGCGUUAUCCGGAUUUAUUGGGUUUAAAGGGAGCGCAGACGGGUUUUUAAGUCAGCUGUGAAAGUUUGGGGCUCAACCUUAAAAUUGCAGUUGAUACUGGAGACCUUGAGUGCA